UGCAGUUGGCCUAUGGUUUGACGUCAGUCUCACAAUUUGUGUGUUAAAUUAUUUCGAGCACAUUUUUGGAAUCCUCAAAAUUCUCGCUGCUAUUUCGGGCAUGGAUCGUCUCCUAACUUUGCUUGUGGGCGGAGUUGUUGGCUAUAUCAUUGGCAAGAAGAUGUAAAGCUGUUUUUCGAGGCAUAACUAUGGAGAGCUCUUGGCUGUUGACCUUCAUCGUUGGCUGCAUUGUUGGCUAUUUGGUUGGCAAGAACUAUUGACAGAAAGUCUCAUUCGUUUUGUUCUCUUGCAUUGAUUUCGACAGACAAAAGUGAAGAAAAUUAACAAAAAUUUCGUUUCAAGAAUGGAAUUGGACUGGGUGCUUACAUUUGUGAUUGGAUGCUUGGUGGGCUAUCUGAUAGCCAAGAACUUGUAGGUUUUCAAGAAAUUAUCAAAAUUAAAAGUCAAGAACCAAGCAAAUAUUCCACCUGUUUCCCAAACCUUGAACCAAAAUGACGCACGUGAUCUCCUUCGCCCUGGGCAUAAUUAUUGGCUUGAUGCUGUGCAAGCGAUGUUGACGCAUUCCAACCUGAAUCUGGGCCACUGCUUCAGCAUCUUACUGGAGCGACCACUCAUCGCGGCCGAGGUUCUCGUCCACAUGGUCGUGCUCCUGACAGCACUCCAUGUCGCCCACAAGCCAAAUGCCCAUCGGCAUUCUGUGCCAGCAGAUGCCCCUCCGACACAUCGAAGCAGAUUUUUCACCCACUCUUGCCGCUAAACUAAAUUUAUUAAGCAGACUGUACAAUUAAAGAAUCCACAAAUAAAAAUGAUAUUCUCAGUCUGGGUGCAGUGAUGAUUUGAUGGCGGAGUUGGGGGAUACUCGGGAAUACUAGUAUGUAGAGGGAGACGUGGAGACCUCCAUGUAGUUUAUGGGUUCUUUUGAGUAGGCUUUGCAUAAACCAACAGUCAAAAAGUGUACGGAAAAGUCAUUCAAAUCAAGUCGUUUACCUCAUACGGAUACAACUUGGGAGUUUUUCGAACAAUUUCUGGUUUCUUUGGCACCUGAUUGGAAAGGCAAGGAAAUGGAGUGCCUUUUGACAUUCAUUGUUGGUUGCAUUGUGGGUUACUUGAUUGCCAAAAACAGUCGAUAGGCAGCCGGCCUAGUGGCAGCCCAAAAUUCUAUUUAUAAAAAUUUUUAAGUUUUGAAUUGGAUUUGGAAAAUGCAGCGUUUUCUGACAUUCAUUGUUGGUGGAAUCGUGGGCUACCUCAUAGCCAAGAAUACUCGCUAAGCAAGAAUGACCCAUUUGAUCUGCUUUGGUCUGGGUGUGUGGGUCGGCAUGCUUAUGUGCCGACGCUGCGGUUCCUGAAGAAGAAGUCCUCGAGCCUUUGCAGAAUCUAUUCGAAUUGAAUGCCAAGCCAAAUUUAAGUUUUUUUGAACGUUAAGUCACACAUUUAAUAAAAGAAUUAUGCAGUAUUCAA